UUUUGUUUUGUUUUUUAAUUCAGUAAACACAAAACUUGAAAUUCUUAUUAACACAAGUGGCUUAGGAUGGAAAUUCUUCGCACUGUUUACAUUUUAGUAAAAUGCUGGGAUAUGUUUAGGUAGUUUCUAGUCUCCCCACUCAUCUUAAAAAUGAAUAUUUGUAGUAGCACCUCAAAUAAAUUGGUUUCCACUCCACAGCUAUGGCCUUGGAUCUUUCUCCUUUGUGUGUUCCCUGACCCUCUGUUAGCCAACCUUGAGAGUUUGACCCUCUAUGCUUUUCACCCCAGGUCUGUGCCCUUGACCUUGCUCCGGAUCACCAGGUACAGUAGAGAAAGGAGCCACUACUCAUUCUCUUACCCACCAGUGCUCUUUCUUCAGAGUCUCCGAUCUCUGCCUCAAAGUGAUGCCCUGUUACAAAGUACAGUUGUUUCCAGGAAAAUGGUUUAUUCUCCAUCUGAUUCCACCAUGGUUAACACCAGAAACAUGGCAGCACCCUUGUUCCAAAGAGGGAAGGACUCCUGUAAGGAAGAGGCAGAAGGGAAGGCUGGAGGUGCUGGUCAGAAGCCACAGGAGGUGGUGACAGGAAAAGAGUCUGUGACAAGUGGAGCCACAUGGGAUAAGUGACAGUGAUGAUUGGGACACCAGCUAAAUCUGGUUUGUUAGGAGGUUCUGAUGAGAGUCUGCUACCCUUCAUCAACCUUCUAGGAAGACCAUUUCUGAUCUUCAACCUCAGUGUAGCCCUGAAUUCAUGAGUCAUUGACUCAAUCCACAAUAGCUGUAAUGCCACUCUGUUAAAGGUGUUCCUCCCCUCUCAGAAUCAGGAAGCACAGGAGAUAAGGCAGGGAACUACCUCUGUUUCUCUUGCUAGAAUGGGACGUGCUUUGGCCUCCUCAUGGAGAGAGAGCAUCCCACUUGGAAUGUACAGGGAAUUUUCCAUGGAAACAAUAUUGACACAGGGAAAGGGGGUCCAUCCUCCAUGAGUUUGGAAAGCUACUCUAUGUUCAAUAUGUAGGUCGGCUUUUAUGAAUUUGCCUCAGAAGCUAACCACAUUUCCAACACUCUUUCUCUAGUAAAGGUCAAGUUUAGGGUAAUGAGUUAAGCCAACACUGGAACAUAGUGUAUUUAUAUGGAGCUGAAGUGAAUCUUUCCAUUGUGGGUGUGUACAGGGAAGACAUGAGCCCCACCAACAGCAUUCCUCAGCCAAACCUCAGAAGCCAGAAUUCCAGCAGCGUUUCAGGAUUAUAAUGUUGACCUUCAGAAAAAAAAAAAAAAAGAACUCACCUUUAUUUUAAACUAAGUAUUGUUUCUUUUCACAUAUAAAAGGUAACUGGUGAGUUUGCUUUUUGAUGCUUCAUUACUUGAGUCUAGCUAAGUGGUUAAGGGCAUGUAAAGUGCAUAUCCAGCCCACAGUUCUUUAAGCAUUUAUUUCCUUGUCAAUGUUACUAUGUCAGCAAGUAUGUGUGGGUGGUAAGGAAGACCCUGGGAAUACUAACCAUUUUACUGAUUAAAUAAAAAGCUGCAAAAAUAAUGUAAAUGAGGAAAGGAACCAUCAGCUAAUCCCAACAUUCUAGCUUAAAAAAAAAAAAAUCAAAGGUUUGUAAGUAAAAACAUGCCAACAUUUCAUAUAUUUUUGACCAGAUUUCUCACAACCUUAAGAUAAACAUUGCCCACAGUGAGAGUUAAUGGUAGUGAAUGCCUUAUCUUUUAAUGUGCUUUAAUCUGGUCUGUUGUCCUCAGUGAAAGGAAUAAAAAGGCUAGGUUAUCAAGAGAGGAAACACAGGCCCUAUGUCUAGAUGCCUUUUACAUGAAUAGUUGCAAGCGGCAUCUUGAGUUCUCUGACUCUGAGGAGUGGAUUGUUUGUUGUCUUUGGCAUACAGAAAUGGGUAAACCGGACUCCAAACAGUGAUUCUUAAAAACUGGAGCAAUAGAUGUGUCCACUGAAGCGGAAUGUGGAUGUUUUUGCAAGUAUGCUCCUUCACUCCCUCCUGAUGUAUCCCCCACAGCCUUGGUAAUAUUGUGACCUGUUUUCUAGUAAGCAUAACUUUAAAAGCAGACUAUGAUUUAUAAAAUCACCUCUGCCAGGUGAAGGUUUAAGAUGGAUGAAAUAGGAUCCUUUGAACUUAAUGGAAUCCUUAAUGGUAAAGCCAACUCAAUUAGGUGUUUCUGUUAGAGUGUUUUUCUGCAUUCAUUCAUAUUUUCUGAAAAAAGCAGAACAAUAUGGGGAGUAUAUUAAUCAUGUUACUACUCUGGCUGGAAUAAUUUAUUAAACCGUAUCAUAGUUUCCUGGAAGAUUUACUAAGCCUCUUCAAUUACUUAACUCUUGUAGAAUAAUUUACAUACUGGCAGAGCAGAUAAAAAAAAACACAUGAAUGAAUUCAUUAAAACUAUUUCAGAAGCACCUGGAUGAAGAUAAUAUUUUCAUCUCCUCAAUCAUGAAAGACUGUUUUCUAUGUAUCAACUUGUUUUUAAAAAAUUACCUCUACAAAUUAUUGUUUCACUAAACCUUUUGCAUCAUCAACACUGUUGAUCAAUGGCAAGGAUUUAUUAAUUAAUAAAUUAAUUUUAAGUAAGUAAAUAUUUUAGCAUUAAUGCGCUUAUUUGUGCCAUUAAUGUUUAAUUCCAAUUUUCUGAUAAUAAGGCAUCAGUCAAAAUAAUAUGUUUUUUUUUUCAUUAGUAGCUGCUUUUCCCUUUUAGUAUUUUGCCUCUUUUUCUAAAUAUUGUAAGCAUGACUUGUAAUACUGCUCACAGAGAUACACAUAGGUCAGUCUCUCAGAAGUGCAUUUGAACAAAGGGCUUAAACACUGAAAUAAUGAAAUUGCAGGCUUUCCUAUUUAUAUAAAAGAUACGUUGAUUUUGUUUAAACGUAAUAGCCAAUUGAUUAUGAAAUGUACCAUUAAACGUACUACUGGGAAAAAGAAGUUAUAAACUAUGAUGCAUGCUCAGGAAUAAUUCUACACAGCAUACAUAUUGGUCAUAGUAGCUUUUGGAAACUUUGCAGUGUAUUGAAUAUAUUCCAAGUGAGUUGUCAUGUUCUUUUUUUUUUCUUCCCUACAUGGCUUUCAGCUGAUAGGCCACCAAUUUGUGCCUAUCCCACUUGCCAAAUAUAGCACAACUUGAUCGCCUUCCAUUCUUAGAAACAAUGGAGCCCCCCUUUUUUUUGCCUUGCAAGAGGAUAAAUGGAACUGCAGUCAUUUCUCCAGUGGCUAAUACCUGCCAGCAGAUACUGAAAGAUGCCAUUGAUUUCAAGAUGUAUCCUGAUUUCAGGGUUGGUGGAGUUUUGCCCUUGUUGCCCAGGCUGGAGUGCAAUGACGUGAUCUCACUGCAACCUCCGCCUCCUGAGUUCAAGUUAUUCUCCUGUCUCAGCCUCCCGAGUAGCUGGGAUUACAGUCGCAGGCUACCAUGCUCAGCUAAUCUUUGUGUAUUUAGUAGAGACGGGGUUUCAGCAUGUUGGCCAGGCUGGUCUCAAACUCCUGACCUUGGGUAAUCCUCAUGCCUUGGCCUCCUAAAGUGCUGGGAUUACAGGCGUGAGCCACCACACCUGGCCUAAAAUUUUGAGCAUGCUCUUAGCAAGGGACAAAUGGCCCACAAACUAAACUGAAAAAUGGAAUGUACAGGCAUGGCUAUCUAAGGGUAGCUUUUCUUUUUACCUUACAUUAUUCAUUCAUAACUGUUAAUAUAUGAUCAUAUUUUAUAAAUUACUAAACAUAUGCAUUUAUGGAAACAGCCAUAUACAACAAGACACUACAUGAACGAAUACAUAGCCUUUUAUACUUUGCUGCUAAUAUGCAACAUCUCUAGAUGUUUAUACCUAUUCACCUAAUAAUUUUUUUUAAAAAAUACAUAUGGUUUCUCUCACUAUGCUUUUCUGAAAAAAAAUUUUUAUUUCAAAUGGUGUCCCUAAAAUUUUGACUUCUUUGUUUAAAAUUCAAUGCCAAUUUCUUCAAAAGUGUGGCUACCUGACAUAAACAGCCUGUGUGUGGAUUUCAUUUGAAGUGCUGAAAAAUAAAAAGUCUAUGGGCUUUGGGGCUUGGCAGAACUGGGUCUUCAUCCCAGCAAUGACUCUAGCUCACAUACGUUUUCUAUUCUGUAAAAUAAAGGCAAUAAAACUGGAAUAUUGUGCUGUUUCUCUGAGCUGAUAUGCUGCACAGAUAUCACGGUGCAAGGCUUUAAGAUAUAUCAAAUAUGUUAUACCCUCUCAACUCCAGUUAUAUAUAAUAAAGAUAAAAACAUCUUAAAACUGUAUAGAGACAUGUAACUUGCAGUAACAUUUAUGCAAAUUAAAACGGGAAUAGAAAUGUCUGAAGCCAAAAGACAUUUGUAAACUUAAAAGGAGAACAAGAGAAAAAAAGUUGAGAAGAAGGAGUAGGAAGAAAAGACUGACUAUAAAGAGAGGGGGAAGGGAAGGAAGGAGGGAGAGGGCAAGAAAUGAACCAGGCUUUUUCCAUAACUUGUAGUUACUGAUGAAGUAUUAAUCACUGUU